UACGAAGGGAGCUAGCGUUGUUCGGAAUCACUGGGCGUAAAGCGCACGUAGGCGGAUUGCUAAGUCAGGGGUGAAAUCCCGGGGCUCAACCUCGGAACUGCCUUUGAUACUGACAAUCUCGAGUCCGGAAGAGGUGGGUGGAAUUCCUAGUGUAGAGGUGAAAUUCGUAGAUAUUAGGAAGAACACCGGUGGCGAAGGCGGCCCACUGGUCCGGUACUGACGCUGAGGUGCGAAAGCGUGGGGAGCAAACAGGAUUAGAAACCCCCGUAGUCC
rnacentral:rRNA from 1 species